rnacentral:rRNA from 1 species
AGUGAACGCUGGCGGUAGGCCUAACACAUGCAAGUCGAACGGCAGCACAGUAAGAGCUUGCUCUUACGGGUGGCGAGUGGCGGACGGGUGAGGAAUACAUCGGAAUCUACUUUUUCGUGGGGGAUAACGUAGGUAAACUUACGCUAAUACCGCAUACGACCUACGGGUGAAAGCAGGGGAUCUUCGGACCUUGCGCGAUUGAAUGAGCCGAUGUCGGAUUAGCUAGUUGGCGGGGUAAAGGCCCACCAAGGCGACGAUCCGUAGCUGGUCUGAGAGGAUGAUAAGCCACACUGGAACGGAGACACGGUCAAGACGCCUACGGGAGGCAGCAGUGGGGAAUAUUGGACAAUGGGCGCAAGCCUGAUCCAGCCAUACCGCGUGGGUGAAGAAGGCCUUCGGGUUGUAAAGCCCUUUUGUUGGGAAAGAAAAGCAGCAGGUUAAUACCACGCUGUUCUGACGGUACCCAAAGAAUAAGCACCGGCUAACUUCGUG